rnacentral:rRNA from 1 species
GACGAACGCUGGCGGCGUGCUUAACACAUGCAAGUCGAACGGAAAGGCCCUGCUUUUGUGGGGUGCUCGAGUGGCGAACGGGUGAGUAACACGUGAGUAACCUGCCCUUGACUUUGGGAUAACUUCAGGAAACUGGGGCUAAUACCGGAUAGGAGCUCCUGCUGCAUGGGGGGGGUUGGAAAGUUUCGGCGGUUGGGGCUGGACUCGCGGCUUAUCAGCUUGUUGGUGGGGUAGUGGCGUACCAAGGCUUUGACGGGUAGCCGGCCUGAGAGGGUGACCGGCCACAUUGGGACUGAGACACGGCCCAGACUCCUACGGGAGGCAGCAGUGGCGAGUAGUGCACAAUGGGCGGAAGCCUGAUGCAGCAACGCGGCGGGCGGGAUGACGGCCUUCGGGUUGUACACCGCUUUCGCCUGUGACGAAGCGUGAGUGACGGUAAUGGGUAAAGAGGCACCGGCUAGCUACGUG